UCUGGCCUGUAUGGGUGAUCCUUUCCGAGGUUUAUCCGGAUUGGGCGCUGCGCAGAGAGAUGGGCCCGUAGCUCAGUUGGUUAGAGCACACGCUUGAUAAGCGUGGGGUCGGAAGUUCAAGUCUUCCCGGGCCCACCAUUUGCAUCUGCGAAUGAGAUUUGCUGUAGCGAAUAGUGGUUUGUUUGGGUUUACCUGAUCCUGACGGUUUGCUGUCAGGUGUUUGCGAUGGUUGGGGCUGUAGCUCAGCUGGGAGAGCACCUGCUUUGCAAGCAGGGGGUCAGCGGUUCGAUCCCGCUCAGCUCCACCAAUUCGCUUGGUGUCGAGACUGAGAGAUAUCCUUUGAAGAAAUAAAAGUUUGCAUCGGCUUUGAGCCUGAUGCCUGUUCUGCAUACAUUGUGAAGAGAAGAUUGAUCUGGAGGCUUCCAGGUGUCGGGUUUUGCCCUUUUGGGUUUGAUCUGGCGUCCGAGCCCAGUUCUGCUGAUCCUAUGGAUGGCCUAGCCGGCCGGAGAUAGGGGAAGGACUGGAGGGUGGAAGGAAGCUUGUCGCUCUGGAUCGUUGGUUGUUCAGCGCCUUGUUGUGCUGUCUGACGGACGAUCGGAUUACCGUUGCCUGACCGCGCGGUAUCGGAUCAUAUCUCGAGAAGCUGGUCUUAAGACCUGACACAAGCGAGCUGCUCGGCGUAGCUCCAAUAAAGUGAUCAGGUCGAACACGUCGAUGGCAUUGUUGGAUUGACUGGGUUGUAAAAGGUAACCCGGUCUGUUGCCGUUUCCUUUGGGGAUGGUGGCGAGAUGAUGAGCAUUGGCAAUGAGAACGAUUAAGUGUCGUAAGGGCAUUUGGUGGAUGCCUUGGCAUGCACAGGCGAUGAAGGACGUGAUACGCUGCGAAAAGCCGU
rnacentral:tRNA from 1 species